rnacentral:lncRNA from 1 species
AGGCCGGCGGGCUCCUCCGGGAGCUUCCUCUAGAGUCUAGGGGUGCUAGGGAGGUGAGAUGGGGGGUGCAGGCCUUAAUCUGUGGGAGCCUCAAGGAGGGCACUGUGUUAAGGCUUUAGGCUCUGCAGGAGAGGGCGGACUGUGUGAGAGCAGGGAGGCAACCCUGCGGGAGGAGGCAUGGCAGUGGGGGAUGACACCAUGGCAGAGAUGGAGGUGGUGACCAAGGAGGCCAAUGUGGAGCGGCAGUUGGAGGACUAGCAGGCAUAGCCUGGCCCAGGCCCCAGUACGCCACGGCCCACAACAGACUCUCUGGACGUCCUUCACUUGGAGCUGGACUCCGUGAAUGCCGCAGGCUGCAGGGCAAUUGUGCGGCACACGCAGAUGUUGGCCAGGAUCACAAAUGAUAAUGAAGUCAGUCUUCCUAAGCUACUUGACGGAUUUGUAGGUCAGGGAGAGGAACACAGCCAUCCUGAGUACCAGUGGCAGGAUGAAGUUUUCCUUUCAUCAUAACCUUUAUUUCCACAAUGAAGGUAUCAUUAAGGGAUAUUGUGUUGGCAUCCUCUGAUACAGGGUAUCUCAUUCCACUGCAGUCCAGUGGUUGUGGCAUCCUGAAGGUCAAUGCUGCAGGCAGUUACACCUCCUACCUGAGCUUUUUCAGCUGGUUGGCUGACCAUGGGUGCCCAGGUUCUGGCAGAAUAGCUGAGUCCCCCAGAUCGUCAGCCAGGGCCUGUGCUCAAUACCCUGC